CCCUUAGAUGUUCUGGGCCGCACACGCGCUACACUGAAGGAGGCAGCGUGUACUCCUGGAUCGAAAGAUUUGGGUAACCCGCGAAUCUCCUUCGUGCUAGGGAUUGAGGUUUGCAAUUAUCCUUCAUGAACGAGGAAUUCCCAGUAAGUGCAAGUCAUAAGCUUGCGCUGACUACGUCCCUGCCCUUUGUACACACCGCCCGUCGCUACUACCGAUUGAAUGAUUUAGUGAGGACUUCGGACUGGGACCGACGCGGCUUUCGGGCUGCGUCGGUAUUCUGGAAAGAUGUCCAAACUGUAUCAUUUAGAGGAAGUAAAANUCGUAACA
rnacentral:rRNA from 1 species